CAAUGGCUGUGUUUGGCAUCUCCGCCGUGUUGUUGCUGGCCAGCCUGAGCCAAGGGCAGGACUUCCCUUUCCGGGACCCGACUUUACCCUGGGAAGAGCGGCUAGACGACCUGAUCAACAGGCUGACUCUCGAGGAGAUGGUGCUGCAGAUGGCAAGAGGAGGUGCAGGUCCCAACGGCCCGGCACCCCCCAUUGAGCGGCUGGGCAUUGGCCCUUUCAACUGGAACACGGAGUGCCUCCGAGGAGACGUAGAAGCCCCGGGCUGGGCAACCGCCUUCCCGCAAGCCCUGGGCUUGGCUGCCUCGUUCAGCCCUGACCUCAUCUACAGCGUCGCCAAUGUCACAGCCACGGAGGUCCGUGGCAACCAUAACUACUUUGUCUCCCGUGGCUACUACUUUGACCACACCGGCCUGAGCUGCUUCAGCCCCGUCCUGAACAUCAUGAGGCACCCGCUGUGGGGCAGGAACCAGGAGACUUAUGGGGAAGACCCCUUCCUGACGGCGCAGCUGGGCGUAGCUUUUGUGACGGGGCUUCAGGGAGACCACCCUCGCUACGUCAAGGCCAGCGCGGGCUGCAAACACUUCGAUGUCCACGGAGGUCCCGAGAAUGUCCCCACGUCCCGGUUUUCCUUUGACACCAAGGUGGAGGAACGUGACUGGCGCAUGACUUUCCUGCCUCAGUUUGAAGCCUGUGUGCAGGCUGGAACCUUCAGCUUCAUGUGCAGUUACAACAGGAUUAAUGGGGUGCCCGCCUGUGCCAACAAGAAACUUCUGACGGACAUCCUGCGUGGCGAGUGGGGCUUCCAGGGCUACGUGGUGAGUGACGAAGGAGCCAUCGAGUUGAUCAUGGUUGGGCACCACUUCACCCAGAGCUUCCUGGAGACUGCAAUUGCUUCUGUGAAUGCUGGAUGCAACCUGGAACUUGCGUAUUUGAUGAAAGCGAAUGUGUUCACUCACAUAAGUGAAGCUGUGGCCAAGGGCAACAUCUCCUUGGAGACGGUUAAGGCCCGCGUCCGCCCGCUCUUCCGCACCCGCAUGCGCCUGGGCGAGUUCGACCCACCGGCCAUGAACCCCUACAAUGCUCUGGGACUCGGCGACGUGGCCACUGAAGCUCAUCACCAACUAGCUCUCUGUGCUGCCGUUCAGUCCUUCGUCCUGCUCAAAAACGACCAAGGAACCCUCCCUCUUAAGGCCCAAGAUGUAUCUGACAAGACAUUUGCAGUGGUUGGACCUUUUGCAGACAACCCUAGACUUUUGUUUGGAGACUACGCUCCACUUUCAUUACCCAAGUACAUCUACACACCCAGAAGAGGGAUCGCAACCAUCUCGGCGAAUGUCUCCUAUGCUGCGGGGUGUAGCCAUCCCAGUUGCGACCGGUAUUUCCCUGCGGAAGUGGAAAAAGUGGUACAGGCGGCAGACGUUGUGGUUGUUUGUCUGGGUACAGGAACGGACCUUGAGAGUGAAGGCCUGGACCGGACAGACCUGGCUUUGCCCGGGCACCAGCUGGACCUUCUGCAGGAUGCCGUGGCUUGGGCUGCUGGCCGGCCGGUGAUUCUGCUCCUGUUCAACGCCGGCCCGCUGGACGUGAGCUGGGCCAAGGAAAACGAUGGCGUGGGAGCCAUUGUAGCCUGUUUCUUCCCCGCUCAGGCCACCGGUCUGGCUAUUGCCAAGGUGUUGGUGGGAGCCGAUGGGACGAACCCUGCAGGCAGGCUCCCGGCCACCUGGCCAGCAGGUAUGAACCAGGUGCCACCCAUGGAGAACUACACAAUGGCUGGGCGCACGUACCGCUACUAUGGGGACGAGGCCCCGUUGUAUCCCUUUGGCUACGGACUCUCUUUUACCACCUUUCUGUACAGCGACUUGGCCCUGGGUUCUGAUGUUCUGCCCAUUUGCGGAAACCUGACUGUCUCGGUGGUGGUGAAGAACGUUGGCUCCAGAGACGGCGAGGAGGUGGUGCAGCUCUAUCUCCGUUGGGGAAGGGCAUCGGUGCCAGUCCCGCGUUGGCAGCUGGUUGGCUUCCGGAGGGUCCUGAUACCACAAGGACAAUCCGUCAAGGUGUCCUUCCUGCUCUCCUUCGACCAGAGAGCCGUAUGGGCUGGGGAAUGGCAGCUGGAGCCGGGCACUUUCACCCUUUUCGUCGGCGGGCAGCAGCCCUUCCAAGAAACCCGGGCCCCUUCCAACAUCCUUCAAGCCGAUUUCACUGUUUUGGGAAGCUCGCGCAAAAGAAGCCAAUGCUAGUCGCUGUGACUCACUGGGAAAAAAGCAAUGCAGGGACUCAUGACGUUAGUGAAUGUUCUUACAUUAAAGAAGACCAGAUUUGGAGCAGAGAAUACAGUACACGCCACGAUGGUUUGCAAAGUGGGGAUGACCUUGCCACGGAUGCGCAAUUGACAUUGUUCGUGGAACAGAUUGCGAUGGGAAACAGGCAAGGGCAAGGAAAGGGCUUGCAGAGAAAAUAAAAUAUUGUUUUCUGAAAUAAGCCAAUGUGUUCAUUUCUUUUUUCAAGUGGUGCUGGAAUAACUGCAAUCUGUGCAUAUAUCCACCAGAUGGAGCUUUGCACAUACUUUUACAAGGUUCCCAUUCAUAACAAUCCUUGGUUGGGUUGUUGUAUGUCUUUCGGGCUGUGUGGCCAUGUUCCAGAAGCAUUCUCUCCUGACGUUUCGCCCACAUCUAUGGCAGGCAUCCUCAGAGGUUGUGAGGUAUGGAAUCCUUGGUUGUGUUGUGGAAAGGCUUUCAUGGCCCCAAUUACUGGAUUGCGGUGAGUUUUUCGGCCUGUAGGGCCAUGUUCCAGCAGCAUUCUGUCCUGACGUUUCGCCUGCAUCUGUGGCUGGCAUCUUCAGAGGUUCUGUUGGCAGUGAAGCAAAUAGAGAGAGUGUGUGUGUAUAUAUGUGUGUGUGUGAAUAUAUAUAUAUGUAUGUAUGUAUAUAUAUAUAUAUAUAUAUAUAUAUAUAUAUAUAUAUAUAUUCACACACACAUUAGCCAUGCCAUGCAUUGCUGCGUCUCUUUAGUCUGGUGGUC
ensembl:lncRNA